rnacentral:rRNA from 1 species
GGCUUAGAGUUUGAUCCUGGCUCAGAUUGAACGCUGGCGGCAGGCCUAACACAUGCAAGUCGAGCGGUUGACGGGAGCUUGCUCCCUGAUUCAGCGGCGGACGGGUGAGUAAUGCCUAGGAAUCUGCCUAUUAGUGGGGGACAACGUUUCGAAAGGAACGCUAAUACCGCAUACGUCCUACGGGAGAAAGCAGGGGACCUUCGGGCCUUGCGCUAAUAGAUGAGCCUAGGUCGGAUUAGCUAGUUGGUGAGGUAAUGGCUCACCAAGGCGACGAUCCGUAACUGGUCUGAGAGGAUGAUCAGUCACACUGGAACUGAGACACGGUCCAGACUCCUACGGGAGGCAGCAGUGGGGAAUAUUGGACAAUGGGCGAAAGCCUGAUCCAGCCAUGCCGCGUGUGUGAAGAAGGUCUUCGGAUUGUAAAGCACUUUAAGUUGGGAGGAAGGGUUGUAGAUUAAUACUCUGCAAUUUUGACGUUACCGACAGAAUAAGCACCGGCUAACUCUGUGCCAGCAGCCGCGGUAAUACAGAGGGUGCAAGCGUUAAUCGGAAUUACUGGGCGUAAAGCGCGCGUAGGUGGUUUGUUAAGUUGGAUGUGAAAUCCCCGGGCUCAACCUGGGAACUGCAUUCAAAACUGACUGACUAGAGUAUGGUAGAGGGUGGUGGAAUUUCCUGUGUAGCGGUGAAAUGCGUAGAUAUAGGAAGGAACACCAGUGGCGAAGGCGACCCCCUGGACUGAUACUGACACUGAGGUGCGAAAGCGUGGGGAGCAAACAGGAUUAGAUACCCUGGUAGUCCACGCCGUAAACGAUGUCAA